rnacentral:rRNA from 1 species
GGAUGAACGCUGGCGGCGUGCUUAACACAUGCAAGUCGAACGGAAAGGCCAGUGCUUGCACUGGUACUCGAGUGGCGAACGGGUGAGUAACACGUGGGUGAUCUGCCCUCAACUCCGGGAUAAGCCUGGGAAACUGGGUCUAAUACUGGAUAGGACCACAUCGUAGGUGGUGUGGUGGAAAGCGUUUGUAGCGGUUGGGGAUGAGCUCGCGGCCUAUCAGCUUGUUGGUGGGGUAAUGGCCUACCAAGGCGGCGACGGGUAGCCGGCCUGAGAGGGUGUACGGUCACAUUGGGACUGAGAUACGGCCCAGACUCCUACGGGAGGCAGCAGUGGGGAAUAUUGCACAAUGGGCGCAAGCCUGAUGCAGCGACGCCGCGUGGGGGAUGACGGCCUUCGGGUUGUAAACCUCUUUCGACCGUGACGAAGCCUUUGGUGACGGUAGCGGUAGAAGAAGCACCGGCUAACUACGU